rnacentral:rRNA from 1 species
CCAAACUGUUGCCUCGGCGGGGUCACGCCCCGGGUGCGUAAAAGCCCCGGAACCAGGCGCCCGCCGGAGGAACCAACCAAACUCUUUCUGUAGUCCCCUCGCGGACGUAUUUCUUACAGCUCUGAGCAAAAAUUCAAAAUGAAUCAAAACUUUCAACAACGGAUCUCUUGGUUCUGGCAUCGAUGAAGAACGCAGCGAAAUGCGAUAAGUAAUGUGAAUUGCAGAAUUCAGUGAAUCAUCGAAUCUUUGAACGCACAUUGCGCCCGCCAGUAUUCUGGCGGGCAUGCCUGUCCGAGCGUCAUUUCAACCCUCGAACCCCUCCGGGGGAUCGGCGUUGGGGAUCGGGACCCCUCACCGGGUGCCGGCCCUGAAAUACAGUGGCGGUCUCGCCGCAGCCUCUCCUGCGCAGUAGUUUGCACAACUCGCACCGGGAGCGCGGCGCGUCCACGUCCGUAAAACACCCAACUUCUGAAAUGUUGACCUCGGAUCAGGUAGGAAUACCCGCUGAACUUAAGCAUAUCAAAAGCCGGGAGGAA